UACGGGGGGAGCAAGCGUUGUUCGGAUUUACUGGGCGUAAAGGGCGCGUAGGCGGUCGUGACAAGUCACUUGUGAAAUCUCCGGGCUUAACUCGGAACUGUCAAGUGAUACUGUCGGACUAGAGUACAGAAGGGGCAACUGGAAUUCUCGGUGUAGCGGUGAAAUGCGUAGAUAUCGAGAGGAACACCUGCGGCGAAGGCGGGUUGCUGGGCUGAUACUGACGCUGAUGCGCGACAGCGUGGGGAGCAAACAGG
rnacentral:rRNA from 1 species